GCCAGACUCCCACGGGAGGCAGCAGUGGGGGAUAUUGCACAAUGGGGGGAACCCUGAUGCAGCGACGCCGCGUGGGUGAAGGAGCGUUUCGGCGCGUAAAGCCCUAUCGGCAGGGAAGAAGGAGGACGGUACCUGACUAAGAAGCCCCGGCUAACUACGUGCCAGCAGCCGCGGUAAUACGUAGGGGGCAAGCGUUAUCCGGAUUUACUGGGUGUAAAGGGGGCGCAGACGGCGAUGCAAGCCAGGAGUGAAAGCCCGGGGCCCAACCCCGGGACUGCUCUUGGAACUGCGUGGCUGGAGUGCAGGAGGGGCAGGCGGAAUUCCUGGUGUAGCGGUGAAAUGCGUAGAUAUCAGGAGGAACACCGGUGGCGAAGGCGGCCUGCUGGACUGCAACUGACGUUGAGGCCCGAAAGCGUGGGGAGCAAACAGGAUUAGAUACCCCAGUA
rnacentral:rRNA from 1 species